rnacentral:lncRNA from 1 species
AUUAGACAUGGAGAAAAUUUGAAAUGGCUCUCGGUUGAUGAGGAACAAAGAUGGAAUUGGAUGAAGAUUAUGAUUUUAUUUAUUUAAGCAGUUUGGAAUUAUCUAGGAAGGACGAUUAGGAUUCUGUUCUAAAUUUUUACUUGUUUCCUUAAUGGAUUGAUAUUUUGUUUUGGUGGACUAUGAGACUAAAACUGAACAUUGGAUAUAUUGAUUUUGGGUUCCCCCCUGUUUCUUUUUCUACUCUUUUUCAACCUAUCCAUCUUCAUCUCAUCUUCUCAUCUUGGAUGAAGAUUACCAUUUAAUUUAAUUUGGAAAUUUUAAAUCAUUUAGGAAGUCAAGUCCUAUUUCAUAAUCUCUACUUGCUUCUCACUCCACUGAUCUUUUGCAUUGGUUUGCCUAAAGGCCAUAUGUAAUAGGAUUUGGUAGACUGUGGUUUGAGAAGUGAAAAUUGGAUAUUGAAGGGGGAUCGUUCCAUGGUUGCUUCGAUCUCGUCUUCUUCUUUAUCAUCUCUUCUUCGUGCUACAUCAUCAGUUAUCAAAUAAGAAACAUGAACUAGUUGAUAUGUUAUUUUGUUCUUGAACAGAGCAUUAAAUCUUUGACUUAGGGUGAAAUUGGUCCGCUUCUGUCGGUGUGGAGGGGAGUUUUCCCACUGAACUUCAGUUAUCGGUUUGAAGCUUUUGAAAACUGAUCCUGACAGACUGAUCCGACCAUGUGAAAUUGUAACUGGUGCGGUCCAGUCAGUUUGUUUGGUCUCGGAUUUUAAUUUUGCUCAAAGAAGUGAGAACAGCAGCGAAACAGGGAGAGAAAGAGGAAGAAGAGCGGAAGCAGAGAGGGAAAGAUGAGCAAAGAACAAAACGUGAAAAUCCAGAAAAUCAGAAGAGGUGGAGCAAGAAUGGGCAGAGAAGCAAGAGGAAUGACUCCGCGAAAAAUUCUAGUACAAUUGGAGUGAGUGAGUGAAGCCGGAGAAUUUGCAAAUCGGAAGAAAACCCUUGUUGCCUUGUCAGACGAUUGAUACACUCUUUUCUUCUGUUAUUUACAAACUCGAGUUAGUUUCUUUUCUUCUCUCCGCUCUUAUCUUCCCUCUCAUUACAUCUCUGUUGCAGAAGACACACGGCAUAGCCCAUCACAUUUAUUCUCUUCUCUUCUCUUCUCUUCUCUUCUCUUCUCUCUCUCUCUCUCUCUCUUGAGUAGAAGUUCAAACAUAUGGGUCCCACUUAUCAUCACUGCCUUUUAUCGGAUUUUCUAUGACAUAUGCAGGGUACACUACUUGGCCCGACUCAGUGUCAACAGAAAUGUAAUAAAAAACCAAAAAGGAAAAAGAAAGGAACAGUUCAGCUGGUUUGGAUCGGUUCAUUCAGUGGUUGUCCUUUUUAACUCGUCUAACUUUGAUUGUCUUGUCUAGAUCCCCUUCCUAGUAUGAUAGGACAGCCUUUGUGAACCAAGUAAAUGUGUACAGCUACUUUGAAUAAUGGCUUAGUUUCUACUGGAUCUAUAUUUCCCCAUGGUGCUGAUGAUUCAUGAGUUAUUCUCUUUAUUUCAGGGCUGGAGCGAAAUGUUGAGUAGUCGUAUUCUUAUUGGGAUAAAGAGGAUGGGAGAACUUGACAUGAAGCCCUUUCAAAAUACAUGCAGAGCAAGAUUCCCACAUUCGGAGGUAGACGUGAAGGCCUUAGAACUGUGUUCCUUGUGGCAAGAGAGGUUGAAGAACCCAGAAUGGCACCCAUAUAAGAUGCUCACACUUGAGGGGGGGAAUCAUCAGGUAUACCUUCUGAAAUACUCUCUUUCUACUGCACUAUGCAUUCAUGCUUUGGCUCCAUCCCUAUUCACUCGAUCUGUCUCUUUACAUUAAAUUCCUAGUUUCUCAUGGUAUAGUGAAUGGUGAUAACCUCACAAACAUACAAGUAGUUUCCACAUUUUCUUUGCUAUGGCUUGAGUUUCCUGCAAGGGAAUUAUUUAAUUUCUUUUUCAGAUCCUGUGCUUUUCAUAAUUAGCAAUCUGUCUAUAUUUCAUUGAAAUAAAUAUUGUUUCUAGACUUUGAAGAUCAAACUAGAAUCUGUGUAGUCUCUUCAUGUGUGUCCAGAUAACGAGGAACUGUCAGGAGAUCAAUUAAUUUUAUGUGAUUAUUCAUUCUGCAGGAAAUCAUAGAUGAGGAUGAUGAGUUACUGAAAAAUCUCAAGGAGGAGUGGGGAGUUGAGAUACAUGAGGCUGUCACAGCUGCCUUGAUAGAGAUGAAUGAGUGCAAUCCUAGUGGUAGGUAUGUCAUUUCUGAGCUUUGGAACUUUAAAGAGAAAAGAAAAGCCACAUUGAAGGAAGUCAUUGCUUAUAUCCUGAAGAGCUUGAAGACACUGAAACGGAAGAGGUGACAAGGUAAGUAUCUAAUCUUUUUAAUUUUUCAUUCAUCUUUUUCUCCAUUUAUUUUGGUGGGCUUAUCUUUGUUUAUUGAGUCAAUAUUGUAUUCAUAGUUAUUUUUUAGUCUACAUUACGAAACUAGAGGCUGGUUCAAGUUCCUUCCUGUGGUAAAACCUUUAUUGUGUGUGUGUGUGUUCUAGGUCGAUAGGUAAGAAUCCUGAAAGUGAAAACAUUUUUUUUUUUUUAGCAAUUACCAAGUUAAUCAACAAUUUGCAUAAACUAUUUCUUUUUCUACGCAUUCUAAUUUUUGCAGAGCGAUUUUUCUUUUUUUUUUUGUUUUCGUUUUCAUUUUCUUUUUAGGUUGAAGGGGGGAUAGAAUAAAAAAUGUUAUGCUCACCAUCUACUUUGACCAUUUUAAUUUACCAUCUGAUGUGGCAUGGUCUAUGACUGUUAGAUGUAAUUGAUUCAUUUAUGGAACCCAUAUGAAAAUGGUGAACGAAGAUGGUACCUACAAAUGACAAUGUUAAGGAAAAUUUGACAUUGUGGACCUUCCUCUAAUAAUUGCACAGUAUUGGCAAUUCUCAGUAGUUGUGUGCGUAUGCGUGGUAUUUUCAAGCUAUGAAGUAUUUAAGUAUUAAGUGAAAUCAAUCUAGUUUGCAGAUCCACAAUGUUGACAUGUUCUUUAAAUAUUCUUUAGGUAGCUUGAUUUUACUGUUGCAGAAUAUUUAUAUGUACAGCCUUUCAUGCAAAUUCUUAUACUAUGGAGGUCCCAAUGGCAUCAUCUGAACUUCUAGAUGAUGAAUUCAAUUUGAGUUUGAUGUGGUUAGUAUAAUCGAAAGUUCUGUUUGACGAGCAUGGAAAUUGGGGAUAUUCCUACUACAAUAUCAGAAAUGUUGAGGGGCAUAUUUCUUAUCUGCUUGGCUUGUUAUAUAUAGAUGUGUUUCAAAUUACUUGGGAUGGUUCCAAUCCGUUGUAUGACCAAUUUGUUUGACUUGAUGACCAUAGCGAUUGAUAUGAUAUUUUAUGUCUAGAUCGUAUUCGCAAAUUUGUUGAACGCAUGUGAUGAUUUCAUUUCAAGGAAAAAAAAUUGAAUAAGUUCAGGUCUGUUUUCAUAGGUUGAUUGGGAAAUUGCCAUUUCAUGUUAAAAAUAGUAAGAGAGAAGUAGCGUUUUUAUCAGCUUAUCUCACCAAAAGUACACCUGUUUGUUAUUGCUUAUGAGUAUCGACUGUUGGACUGAAAUUGUCACGAAUAGUUACUCUGUCGUAUUACUGUCUUGCGUAUUAGAUUAACUUAUUGAAAGAAGGAAAUGAUUCCUGUUGACUGAAGGCAUUACAUUACGAGUUCAAAAGCAUUCUUCAGGAAUUCGUAUUAUGAUAUAUGGGUUUGCAAAGUAGAUGGAAGCGUGAAAGAAAAUAGAUCUAAACUCUAUCCGACUAAUUAGAAUGAAAUGCACCAAUAAUACCAUCCUAAUUAUAAGCAUUCGCAUUCGCAUUCACACUUCAUUAUGGUUUAAUUAAAGCCUUUUAUCUGGUGAUCUUUGUGCUAGGUGAUGAAGAAAGCUGUGGGAAUGGAAGUUCAGAGCGUAGGAGCACAAAAAACUGCCGCUGGAGGAACCAGAAGUUGAAACUAGUUUUGUUGUAGAUGUUAAUUGUCGCCAGGUUUUCCCAUUCGGUGUAUGGUACAACAGAACUUGUUAAACAUAUUACAUGUGCAAAUGGCAAUACCUCGAGUCUGUAGAUGAAAAUCGAGUAUGCCAUUCUUAAUGGGAAUCUUCCCUUAGACAUUAGCAGCUAGGGUUUCCGUUUCAGAAAACAAUUCUUGGAACUGAAACUAUCUAAUGCUUUGCUUUGCUUUGCUUUGUUUUUAGCCUGCGUGUCCCUUUUAUUUUGUUGUCAGCCUUUUUUUUUUUUUCCUUUUGCAGUUAGGCCGAUGCUGAAUUUCUUCCGUCAACAAAUUGAUUGCUCUUGAUGUCCAGUUCUAGGAGUUAAACCUAGAAAGGUGUAGCAGCCGCAUCUUUAGGUUGCUGACCCUUAAAGCGAUUAUUCCCCAUCUUCACGGGCUGAUUUGGAAUGAGAUUUUAUUUAUAACAUUGUUGCAUUUUAUAUACCAACUAUUCACAUAUGAUCUUGUAUGGUGAUAACAAAACAAAAAAGAAACAGGUCUAUAAAUAAGUAUAACCAUAAACAACUAGAUUAAGUGCUCGUCACACUCCAAAAAAUUAGAUCGUAUUCACAGUACAUUCGCUGUAAACAAAAUAAGGCAGAAAAAGUAAUGACCACUACAUGCAAUUUCAAGCAAAUAACAUAGACACUAAUAAGCAUCAGCAGAAAACUUGAACAGUUACACCAUUCAAAUUCCAACAGGAAGAGCAAAAAUAAAAAAUCAUCUAAAUUAGCAACCUGAAACAACAGAGAUGGGAAUAAAAAAAGGCACAUUGAACGGAAGACUUAAAACCUGCUACACUACCAACGAUUAAAUGUACAUAAGAUUAACCCAGUUGGCCAAGUCGCAGGUAGAGAAAGGCAUUAGUGUUGGACAAUCUUCUAUGCAAUUAAAAUAAACAAACUGAAAUUAAAAUAAUCAGAAAGUUACAAUAAAUUAAACACACUUAUAGAACCUCUUCUUCGAAAAACAACAAUUCAAAUUUGUGACUGAGACCUGUAUUCAAUACAGUGUCCUUAAGACAGAUUAGUCCUCCGCACGGGUGCUAACAGAUGUAAUAGAUUCUGUCUCUCAGGAUACAACAGUCGAAAUCUUACUAAUGCAGCACAACAAUCAGUAAGCCUGGCGAAUCAACAACAGUGAUGUACUCUCUUUUACGGUAUGCAAAAAAUGAAGAAAGGAAGAGCGGAUGAAUAGAUGAAAUUACUUAGAUUUUCGAUAUUCCAGAAUGGCUGAGGAGGGAUGUUUAUAUAAGAAAAUUCGUGACUUUUCAGAAAAUAAGCAAUUUUUCAGAAGGAGGCAACUUUUCGGGGAUCUGUUUGUUUAAAAUUCAAACGUAUAGGGACACAACUAUUUGGGACUAAAUCCGAAAAGACGAAAUUAUUCGGGGACCAAAAUAUAAUUACUGAAAACUAUUAUUAAAUAAAUAAACUUUCAGUAAAAAAUUAUAUUAGUCCGACCCAAACCCACGGCCCGAGAGGGCAGCGCACGCGUGUGGUGUUUUUAGUUCAGUCCAUAGUCUGGGGCCAAACCUAUCCAUAACUACCCUCCUUCAAAAACUUGGAUACCCCUUGGGGGCCCAACCCAAGAAGUGAAAUUUACUUCUUAUAAAUCACUUUACUUUCUCUCUCCUUACCAAUGUGAGACUAACAACUCUUUCUACAUAAAUCAUAUCUAUAUAGCACACUUUAGAAUCAAUUUUCAAUUCAUUUGUAAGUAGUUUUGAACAACUAAUUACACAUUCUUAAUCCCCACAUGUAAGUGUAUCUAAAGCCACUUAAACAGUUAAACCCAUCUAAAAAGUAUAUGAGUCCUACUUUAAUUAAGUCUCAAAGUUGGGCAAAACUAUGGGUUAAAACAUAUUUUUUCCUACAAUUAGAACUCAACAAACUUCCAAGUUUUGCAGGAUGCUCCUUUGUGACGCCAUCACUGCUCUUGAUGUCGUAGUCCAAGAGAAGAAACAAUAUGAAGGGCAGUGCUGGAGAAAGAAGUUUUGUUUUCUCAGGGCUAAUGGGAUACUGAUAUACAGAAGAACAGGAGGUGAUCGAUCACCCUGCUACUUUAUAGAGGAAGAAGGAACAAAUAUGCUGGGAUAGUCCCAACAAUGGGGUCGGAUAAGUGGAUAACAGAUGUGGUUAUGGUGUUCUGAGUAAUUGUAGCUGACAGAGGACAUAGCAAUGGCCAAUUGGAGUACGGAAGUUUAGAAAAUAUAAAGCAUUAGAUUUUUUCCUAAAUAAGCUAAAUGAUUGUGAUUCUUGAGCAAUAAGAAUUUAAGAUAAGAGAGAGAAAAAGAGGGGCAUCCCACACAUCACAUAUGAGCGGCGGGUGCCUAGGAAAUGGUGUGCAAGAGAAUAUUUAAACAGAAUUGAUUCUUGAACGGGAUUUUUUUGUUUUUUCCACAUUAGUCUAACUAUAGCGAUAGUGCUAAUUCUAACCGUGUUUAUAUCUACCAGCCGUUUUAUUCUUUUGAAAACUUAAAAUAAUGUUUAUGGGUAUUUUGACAUAAAAAAAUAUGAGUUGGUAUCAGAAUUGUGUCUACACCAAAUGACGUGUUCCCUUUUAAUAAUAGUAUAGAUGUCGGUGCAUAUUCAUGUAUUGGGUUCUACAUUUCUGUGAAUCCUACCAUCUAUCUAUCUAUAUCUAUAUGCAUGCUAUAGUAUAGCAAAGUGACUUUUUGGUGGGAGCAUUGGAAGCUCCAUCCUCUAAUGCCAAAUUUAUUGAAUUAUUGAAUUUAUAAUUAUUAAUAAAAGCUUAUACUGGUUGGGCUAAAAAAAUAAUUUAGAAUUUCAAUAAAAACCUACCUUUAUGGGAUUAAUUAUGUUUUCCAAAUUAAUCCUAGCAUGUCCUUUAAUUUAUGUUUACAUUUUAUGGAAGGAAACAUCACAUUCUUUCCUAUUUUUGAAUUACUACAUAUUUCAUAAAUGAAUGUGCAUAUCGACUCAUAUUCUCUUUUCCAUUAUAGAAACCCUAAAGGAUUUCCUCCUGUCCUAUUAUGAUAGCUUAUGCUGUGUUACAAAAAUAACAUCAUGUGUUUGAUUCCCACUUUUGGACAAUUACAUUCAAUUGUUCAUCCUACUUUGGGUCGAUUAUGUAGAAUAUUUGUUUUAAAUUAUGUGAAAUUCGUACGCUGAAGUGAAUUUGAAUUAUUUUUUUUAAAUUUUAAAAAUUUUUAUUAGUCUAAAUUUUAAGACCGUAAUAUUUCUCACCGAACCGAAUAAUGGAUUGGAUAUAGACACAUUUUUAUCUUUUAUGAAAAUUGAUGUCUCUCCUACUUGGAUUAUUAUUAUUAUUAAGACUAAGAGAGUGGACUAAACUAUCAACUAGUACUAGAUGCAGUGGGAAUAAAUAAAAUAGAGAAUAUAUAGGUCUCCAUGGAGUUCAAAUCAACAAUUAUAAUCGAUAAGAAUUUUGAGCCAAGCCUAAGCUACCUGCUUUCAAUGAGAAUCUGGGAAUACUUUGACCAUGAGUGAAAGAUCAGAGAAGAGAACCAGU